rnacentral:rRNA from 1 species
GAUGAACGCUGGCGGCGUGCCUAAUACAUGCAAGUCGAGCGAAGGGACGAGAAGCUUGCUUCUCUGAGGUUAGCUUCUGACGGGUGAGUAACACGGGGAGAACCUACCUUUAAGACUGGGCUAACUUCGGGAAACCGUAGCUAAUACCGGAUAAUAUUUUGAACCGCAGGGUUCAAAAGUGAAAGACGUUCUUGCUAUCACUUAUACAUGAAUCCGGGCUGCAUUAGCUAGUUGGUAAGGUAACGCCUUAACAAGGCAACGAUGCGUAGCCGACCUGAAAGGGUGAACGGCCAGACUGGAAGUGAGACACGGCCCAGACUCCUGAGGGAGGAAACAGUAGGGAAUCCUACGCAAUGGGCGAAAGCCUGACGGAGCACAGCCGCGUGAGUGCUGAAGGUCUUCGGAUCGUAAAACUCUGUUAUUAGGGAAGAACAUAUGUGUAAGUAACUGUGCACAACUUGACGGUACCUAAUCAGAAAGCCACGGCUAACUACGUG